CAAUUUUUUUUCCCCGUGUGAUUGAGCAUAAAAAAAAAACUGAUUUAACUCGGUCAUUUCAACUGCAAUAACACACUCGGUCGUAAAUAAAACGUUGAAUUGAUGAUCAGAAGGAUAUUGCUGUGACGAAUGUACUCGAUGUGGUUUUUAUCUCCCUAGUAAAAAUUGGGUUAACCCGACAAUUCGUCUCUCUGUAAAUACAACGAAUACGAUCGCCAGUACAGUGUUACCAACAUCUAGCCAUAUGAUAUACGAGUUUUAGGGGAGUAUAUAUGGGAGUGAAAAGUUUUUGGUGGAUUUACUAGGGUUCACACACUCCCUGUGGCUUUUGCUAAAUUUAACGGGAGAAUGAAACUGAUCGCUCUAGUCCUCUUUCCAUUGUUGGUCAACGUCAAUGGAAACUCGGAGCAUCAAGGACAUAUCGCUGCUGAGUCGAGUGAAGGACACAAGUUGAUGGACAUUUUGAGAAGUUUACCGGGAAAAAUAACGCAUGACUACGUGCCAGCAGCGCAUGCUGAGGUUGACAUGAAUGAUUCAGGUGUAGAUGACACGGAUGGAGAUGUAGAUGAACUGACAGCGAGGCUUAUGAUCGAUCCAAUGAGUGACAAUGGUCUAGCGACAGCUGAGAAACUCUUCCAGCCCCUGGUCGAUCAGCUGAAGCCAAUGCUAGAUAAAUUCGUGACAUUAGUAUCGGGCACCUGUUUGGAAGAUGUUGUGCAUUUAUUGAUAACAAUUUUUCAAACUGUCAUGAGAAAUAUGAUGCCUCUCGCGGCGAUAAAGGCCCAGAGAAAAUCUUGAUCGCAAAUCGUCGAUUGCGGGAACGUGUAUUGGAACGUGACGGUGAUUGGAAAUAAAACAUUGGAAAUGGGGUCUUGA